UACGUAGGGGGCAAGCGUUGUCCGGAAUCAUUGGGCGUAAAGAGCGUGUAGGCGGCCAGGUAGGUCCGUUGUGAAAACUCGAGGCUCAACCUCGAGACGUCGAUGGAAACCAUCUGGCUAGAGUCCGGAAGAGGAGAGUGGAAUUCCUGGUGUAGCGGUGAAAUGCGCAGAUAUCAGGAAGAACACCCGUGGCGAAGGCGGCUCUCUGGGACGGUACUGACGCUGAGACGCGAAAGCGUGGGGAGCGAACAGG
rnacentral:rRNA from 1 species